AUGACUCGUUUUACAUUUUAUGGUUUCAGAUUCACCUUGAAGUUACUUGUUCCACUGCAUCACUGCUCUACAAUUUCCACCUUCAUAUACUGUACACACCAGGGAAUCCCCUAAUGCAGGUCAGGGAUAGUGCUCUAUUUGUGCUAGAAUUGGAGUCUUAAAGAGGUACUGUGACUCGAUGGUAUUUGUUUCUAUGCUAAAACACUAGUGGAUUGUGUGUUUUUGUAAAGAUUCAUGAGUUAGAAUGAUAGCAUUUUUAAUAUAGUUGUAAAAAGCAGUGGAGAUGGUGCUUUCAAAUGGUGUCAUUGUAGUUAUUUAUUGGAUUUUUGUGUUUGAUGCAUGAACUAAAUGGUGUGUACCAAAUGAUGUAUAAGCUAGUUUUGUACCAAAUGAGAACUUGGCAAAAUAUUAAACUGUGUAGGUCUUGUUUCCUCACUCAUCAUCCACUUCACUUUAUAUGCCAAAGGAAACACUUGUUAUGAGUCCAAAUAUUAGCAGGUAAAUAGUAUAAACUAUACAGUUCAUUUAAGCCAAUAUGCAGAUUGAAUAGAGAGCGAGAGAUUAAAGAGAAGAGGAAUCAUCCCAAAAGGCUAUCACACUUUAUGCCAUGUAGAUAGAUCCUUGGUAUUUGGAGGCAAGGCGAAUAUUCAUGUUAUGUUACUUAUCCAAUGAUGUCAGAGCCAUGUGUAGAUGGUUUGGAACAUCAUGCACAGAACAAAUACAUCAACAUCGAUCGAUACGAUACGACAACAAAUCAAAACUCAAGUGUAGAUGGUUUGGAACAUCAGAAGCUAUGCACAAGCGUUUUACACAAUACUUAUUC